rfam:Triticum aestivum genome assembly, contig: Triticum_aestivum_CS42_TGACv1_scaffold_373961_5AL
CUACUACUCCCUUCGUCUGGAAAUACUUGUCCGAGGAGUGGAUGUAUCUAGAUGUAUUUUAGUUCUAGAUACAUCCAUUUGUAUCCAUUUCGACGACAAGUAUUUCCGGAUGGAGGGAGUACUAU